GACGAACGCUGGCGGCGUGCCUAGUACAUGCAAGUCGAACGCUUCUUUCCUCCCGAGUGCUUGCACUCAAUUGGAAAGAGGAGUGGCGGACGGGUGAGUAACACGUGGGUAACCUACCCAUCAGAGGGGGAUAACACUUGGAAACAGGUGCUAAUACCGCAUAACAGUUUAUGCCGCAUGGCAUAAGAGUGAAAGGCGCUUUCGGGUGUCGUUGAUGGAUGGACCCGCGGUGCAUUAGCUAGUUGGUGAGGUAACGGCUCACCAAGGCCACGAUGCAUAGCCGACCUGGGAGGGUGAUCGGCCACACUGGGACUGAGACACGGCCCAGACUCCUACGGGAGGCAGCAGUAGGGAAUCUUCGGCAAUGGACGAAAGUCUGACCGAGCAACGCCGCGUGAGUGAAGAAGGUUUUCGGAUCGUAAAACUCUGUUGUUAGAGAAGAACAAGGACGUUAGUAACUGAACGUCCCCUGACGGUAUCUAACCAGAAAGCCGCGGCUAACUACGUG
rnacentral:rRNA from 1 species